AGUAGGCUGAGCUUUGGAUGAUGAGAAAUAAAUGUCACUGUUGUAUUAGUUCAAAUCUGAAGCAGACGUGUUUACUACAUUGGCGACUGAGGAUUCAAAAUCAGACAUGAAAAAAAAAAGAUUCGGAAACCAUAAAGAUGAAGGAAGAUACUUGACUUGGAGGAAGACGAUGGAUUUUGGAACAUGUGGAGAAAUUGUAUCACUCCAGGAGUUGAAGUUACCGAAGGGAACAUGACGUAAGCUGCCAACGGAGUGCGCGUAGUUCAACCCACACGGAAAGGAAAGUUUGGUCUAGUUGAUAGGCAAUUGAACAGGUAUGAAAUUUUGUACUUUUAAAUAAUGUGAGAUAUGAGUAUUUAGUGCUGAUGGUGGUUUGUGAUGGUUAAAUUUUUAACAAUUUUAAAUUGAGUGACACAAUCAUUGCACACAAUAUGUGAAUCAUGCUGAUGUUAUGGAAAAUAGUCCAUAGUUUAUUGUUAAGUUGAAUCGGAAGGGACGCGAAGGAUUGCUUUCCAUACAGCACUACUACUGCAGCUGUUGUUUAAUCUACGCAUGGAUGUUGACAACUUCUAAAGUUCGUGUAUAAGUUUGGUUACAUUACAAGAGGUUUUAUUGUUAGGUAUAAAGCAUUCAAUUUGGACAACGCUAUACAAAUAUAAAAAUAACUAGCUGUCCCAACAGACGUUGUGUCAUUUGGUUGUGGCUGUUUGACAGUUGUUGUCGGGUGAUUCUAGCAACGCACACUAGAUUGGAUUUAUUGCGAUCUUUAUAAAUUUCGCCCUGCUCUUUACAAGUCCAGUAAUUUCAUAAUUAUUGUUGUUUUUAGUUGAUUUUUAUAAUUUUUAUCUGAUAAAACAGCCACCAUGAAUAAGGAUCAAACCAUGCAAGAGUCAUUCUGAUUGGUUCAUCCAUUCGUGAGUUUUGUAGCCUCAAAGGGAUUUUAAAUUGAUGUUCAUAUAUAAAUAUGAAUUUAUAUUCAAUUCAAUACCAACCAAUUUUAAUCACUACAAUGCAUGUAAGAGCCAAGAUUAAAGUUCAAUAAUUUCUUGAUUACAGUAUAAGAACCCAGUGUAGUAUUGUCAAAUGAUGCAUUCGUUCAAUCAUAUGGGAAGAAACCAUUUGAGCAGUUACAGACUAGACUACAGUUAUUUCAUUGGUUGCACUAUCUCAAAAGUAUAACCAAAGUAUUGCAGAUUUUAUUCCGUAAUAGACUCACACCCGGAAAAUGUUGUCCCACCAAAAUAUUCUCUGAAUUUUAAAGUGUUGCUUAAAUGUUUGUGUUGUUGUCUAAUUAAAUGUUAACUUUCUAUUUUGUUGAAUCAACGAAUAAUGCUGUAAUGUUGCAGAAGAAAUGUAUGAACUUAAAAUCAAUGUGAUAAAGAUAAUGUUUAUCCGUUUAGAAUCUAAAUUGUAAUCUCAUUGAAGAAAUGUUUAUAAUCUUCAACUGUUGGAAAUAGCUUUAUACUUAAGCUAAACAGAUCAAGAGGAUACAUAUAAUCCUAUAGAAAGCAAAAAUACUGGUGUUUAGAAUUGAUACACUAUACACCAUAUAAAAAAAUAUUUCAGACCAUAUUGCCAAUCUUCCACCCUACCGAACAAGACGAUAUGAAUCCAUCCCGGGUGAAAUCAUCGUCAGAGUUGUCGCCAGCCAAUCAGCUGGAGGGAGCCUGACGUUUCUCCGAUCACACUAACACAAACAUCAAUAGAGGUGAAGCUUAAUUCGUUUCGAUGAUUCUGAUUUACGAAGUUCAGGACAAGUAGUAGAAAACAAACUCACUCGCCUAAAUAAACGCAAGUAAUAUGAAACAUCGAAAGGAAGGCAACUGAACAAUAUUAAGUAAGAAAAGAGCGCACCGAGAACAAACGCAAUCCGAAUGAUGGACAAAUUAUAGUACACCGAAUUGAACAUACCAAGCAUAGAGAGUAUGGGAAUGAAUCAGCUUGGUACAUGGGUCUCGGUGUGAUAAUCGGAACAUAGUUUCCCUCGAACCUGAAUGGAAUUUAGCCGAUUUAAAUUAAAACGCAUUCCAAUGUCGUUGAAAGUUUCAUUACGAUUAUGAAGAGCUUAUUCUGGUGUUAAAACCAAUCAAUAAUGCUAGAUGAAUGUUCUAAAAAAAAAACUUUUGCAACAGACUCAAAAUGUGAAUAUGUGGUGUUCGGUUUUGGCAUUCAAAUUUACUUAAGUCAUUUAUUCGACGUUUUGCUUCUGCCGAUAAAACAGAGAACGUGAUGGACAGAAAGAAUUUGCUCGGCCAAUGCAGCAACAUAAUUGAGUGAGUGUUUCUCAUGGCUGAUUCAGGGAACAUUAGUUGAAAUUGUAGCUCAAUGCGUAAAUAAAAAACAUUACGUAUGUUCUGAUCGGAUAAUGUUAUCCUAUUGCCAACUUGGAGCGCACAAAAGAAACAAGUAAUGGCGAGGAUUGUCAAUCCUAGGAAAUUCUCCAUACUCUGAUUCGAAAGCGUUCUCUUCCAAAUAUGGAGCAGGCUUAGUGCAUUUGCCGUAAUAUUAAGUUUUCCACAAAGGAGAUAAAAUGAAAUGCAAAAGAAAAGACCAAAUGUAGGAGAAUCUUCUCAGUCCAUUUGGCAUUCCAGUCUAUCAUGAGAUGAAGGAAUUGAGAAUUCAGUCCAUCUAUGAUAAAGGGAAACGCAAAGGAAACUUAGAGUUUCAGUCUGCAAAAGAAAAGACCAGAUGUAGGAGAAUCUUCUCAGUCCAUUUGGCAUUCCAGUCUAUCAUGAGAUGAAGGAAGUGAGACUUCAGUCCAUCUAUGAUAAAGGGAAACGCAAAGGAAACUUAGAGUUUCAGUCUGCAAAAGAAAAGACCAGAUGUAGGAGAAUCUUCUCAGUCCAUUUGGCAUUCCAGUCUAUCAUGAGAUGAAGGAAGUGAGACUUCAGUCCAUCUAUGAUAAAGGGAAACGCAAAGGAAACUUAGAGUUUCAGUUUGCAAAAGAAAAGACCAGAUGUAGGAGAAUCUUCUCAGUCCAUUUGGCAUUCCAGUCUAUCAUGAGAUGAAGGAAGUGAGAAUUCAGUCCAUCUAUGAUAAAGGGAAACGCAAAGGAAACUUGAUGUUUCAGUCUGCAUUAGAGAAGACCAAAUGUAGGAGAGUUAUCUCAGUCCAUUUGGCAGUCCAGUCUACCAAUAAAUAAAGAAGUUAAUUGAUCUUCAAUUUAUUUUCUGGUACAGGGAUACUGUAAUAUAUAAGGAUAAUACUUGAUAUUUAAUACUUCAACUAUUCUAGGCUUUGAUGCAAAUUAUCAAUGGUAUACGAAAUCUCCGAUUAGAAGGCCUAAGGAAUAACAAAACUGUUUAUUUGAAAUAACAGAGGUACGCAAGACUACCAUUUCAACCUGAAGGAUGAUACUGAUAAAGGCCAGCUUUGCAAGAACGAAUUUCUGGAGAGGUCAGCUAACGGUUAUCAAUUAUUUCGAUACAAUAUUCCGAAAUCAGUUUCCUAGCAUAGCAUAUAGUGAUAACACAAGCUGUAUAUAAAUCAUUAGUGAACAAUUGUACUUGCAUAUAACAUUAUAAUAGGUUUCAUCGAUACAGUCAUUACUCAACGCAUUACACACUAUUUCAAUUUUAUUUAAAGUUAA